GACGACUUAAAACCUCUCAUGCCCUACUACUUGGCUACAAUUGCUGUCUCUCACCCCAAUAAUUCUCGUUACUCUGACAGAGAAAUGUGAUCUGUGAUUAGGUACCUAUUGGAUGAGCAACAUAACCGGUAUAACUACAAGGCACUCUGAUAAACAUUCAUUUGUCAAUAAAUUUCUAAAACCUGCCCAAACCAGGUGGUUUUGCUCAUACACAGGGAGUAGAAAUUCCUUCCAUCUGCCACAAAAGACUAUCUCCAAA